GUCCGUGUAGAGUAGUGGUCAUCUCGCCAGAAUCACAAUAUCUCGGUUUCUAGAAAACUAGAUCUUGUAGCUCUGGAUAUCGUCGGUUCGAACCCGACCGCGGGCA